rnacentral:lncRNA from 1 species
GUCUGUGGGGAACUGGGGCGCUGGUCGGUGCGCGGGCUGGGACGCUAAGUCAUGAGGAAUUAAACUGGGAAACCUGGCGUGGGUCCAGGCGCCUUCCAGGAGGCAUCCGGCGCGGCCCGGACGUGCUUCUACCCAGAACCACCCCCUCCAGGCCGGGGUGCACUUAACGGGGCUAUACAAAGAGUCUGGUGGGUGACUGUGGGCCUCAUCCCUAUCCCGGGGUCUGAUAGGGAAGACUCUCGGGCCCCGCAGGGAAUAUCUGGCUAGUGCACCCUCGGCGGGAGCGCCACUCUCCCUCCUUGGGCGGCGCCCCCCACCUCUCAUCCCGCCCAAUCCGUUUUGCAAAGUCGGCCAAAACAAAAACAAACUUGGAGCGCUGAUAGGUGCGGAACUUUACCAGUCACUUAGAAGAUAGAAAAUGUUAGACACUUGCUGGCCUUUUGGGAUCACUGGUUAGGGAAAGGAAGGGAGGGAGCUGUGGGGAAUGAACGGAUAGUAGUGUAAUAAAGGAUUGUAGUGGUGUAAGAACGGGAAGCACCGUGGAAACGUCUGAGGAAGAUUUUCAGGGGAGCAGUAGCUGCUGAAUAGAAGUCUGUCAGGCAGGCCUGACAUUUACUAUGUACCAGGAACUGUGCUGGCCACCUUACAUAAUUGUCUUAUUUAAUCCCCAGAAACAGCCUUUUUUUUCUUUUUCUUUCUUUCUUUUCUUUUUUUUUUUUUUUUUUUACUUUAAGUUCCGGGAUACAAGUGCAGAACGUGUAGGUUUGUUACAUAGGCAUACGUAUGCCAUGGAGGUUUGCUGCACCUAUCAACCCGUCAUCUAGGUUUUAAGCCUUGCAUGCAUUAGCUAAGAAACAACGCUUUCCAAUGGGUAGUAUUAGCUAGUCUACGUUGCAGAUGAGGAAACAGGCUCAGAGGAGUUAAUUUGUCCAAUACCAGGGCCGAUGGGUAGCAGAGAAUUUGAACUCAAUUCUAUUUGAUUCCACUUGUCCAUUAUAUUAUGUUUGAUGAAGAAAACAGUGACAGAGAAGGAGCAUGUGCAAAGGCACAAAGACAUCAGAAAAGAGCUUGCUGGGACUACCACCAUCAAACAUUGGCUUAAAGCUGUUAUCACUUCUGUGUCUCGGUAUUUGUACCAAUAGAUUAUCUAGUUUGAAUACAUUUUUUUUUCUCUUUGGCAGACACUGUUAUUGCCCAUCUGAACUCGUCAACUGAGAAGGAAAGAGAUGGUUUAUGCUGUGAAUAAAAUACAGUUGUGCUGUGAUGUAAAUCCCCUCAUCCUGGAGCAGCUGAGCAAGGUCUAAGGCAGGAAGAACCUUCAAGCAGGUCAUGGCUUGCAGGCUCAACUCUGCCUGGCAGUGGCAAGGGCCAGGGCCAGUGACUGAAGCAACAAACUGCCAGAUGACUGCAGCUCAAGCCAAUGCACAAAGCCACUGCAACAAGAGAGGAAAUUCUUCCAUUUCCAAGUGUGUCGAUUUCUCCCCAUCAAGGAAAACAGCUAAGGCAAUGUGUUGAUAUUUUCUUUGACCAAGUCAUCAGGAGUCACAUAGACAUACAGCACUCAAGAAGUGGCUGUAACUAAAGGCACAUCUCGUUCAUCUACAACCCUUGUAAUCCCAACCUUUGUCUGAUGCACAAACCCUUCCCUAGUUCUCCCCACCACCACCACUGCACCUCCAAGUGGGGACAACGAAUUGUUUCAUUUGCAUGUGGUUUUUCUCAUGAAAAAUAUCAUUAACAUGAGACAGCCCCAAACCAAGGAAACCAGAAGUGGGGUUUGUGCUUGGUCUUACUGAGAGCUUUCCCUACUUGACCAGACCCCAGCAUUGUUCUAGAUUUGUCUCUUGUGGGCUACAGGAAUGCAAACAUUUUGUAGUUUCCUCUUUUUUGUUUUCUUAAUGGCUUGAUGAGCCACACAUGUUUCUCUAAAUGCAUGAUUUUAAAUUCACACAAUUUCUGCCAACUAAACUUAAUGCAUUCUCCUCCUCUUCUAAUCAAUAAGGGCUAUCAGAAUGUUUUGGGUGAAGAUGAGCGGAAGGUAAGAAAUUACAUACUGUGGGCCAGGUUUGGUGACUCACAUCUGUAACCCCAGCACUUUGAGAGACCAAGGCAUGCAGAUCGCUUGAGGCCAGGAGUUCAAGACCAGCCUGGCCAACAUGGCGAAAUCCUAUCUGUACUAAAAAUACAAAAAUUACCCAGGCGUGAUGGCUCAUGCCUGUAGUCCCAGCCACUCAGGAGGCUAAGGCAAGAGAAUCACCUGAACCCAGGAAGUGGAGUUUGCAGUGAGCUGAGAUCACGCCACUGGACUCCAGCCUGGGCAACAGAGUGAGACUCUGUCUC